GACGAACGCUGGCGGCGUGCUUAACACAUGCAAGUCGAACGGAAAGGCCCUGCUUUUGUUGGUUGCUCGAGUGGCGAACGGGUGAGUAACACGUGAGUAACCUGCCCUUGACUUUGGGAUAACUUCAGGAAACUGGGGCUAAUACCGGAUAGGAGCUCCUGCUGCAUGGUGGGGGUUGGAAAGUUUCGGCGGUUGGGGAUGGACUCGCGGCUUAUCAGCUUGUUGGUGGGGUAGUGGCUUACCAAGGCUUUGAAGGGUAGCCCGCAUGAGAGGGGGACCGGCGACAUUGGGACUGAGAGACGGACCAGAAUCGUACGGGAGGCAGCAGUGGGGAAUAUUGCACAAUGGGGGGAAGCCAGAUGCAGAAACGCCGCGUGCGGGAUGACGGCCUUCGGGGUGUAAACAGAUUUCGACUGUGACGAAGAGUGAGUGACGGUAAUGGGUAAAGAAGCAACGGCUAACUACGUG
rnacentral:rRNA from 1 species